UACGUAGGGCGCAAGCGUUAUCCGGAAUUAUUGGGCGUAAAGAGCUCGUAGGCGGUUUGUCGCGUCUGCCGUGAAAGUCCGGGGCUCAACUCCGGAUCUGCGGUGGGUACGGGCAGACUAGAGUGAUGUAGGGGAGACUGGAAUUCCUGGUGUAGCGGUGAAAUGCGCAGAUAUCAGGAGGAACACCGAUGGCGAAGGCAGGUCUCUGGGCCGACACUGACGCUGAUGCGCGAAAGCUAGGGGAGCGAACGGG
rnacentral:rRNA from 1 species